GAUGUAACGCCAUUGGGGUAGGAAGCCCGGAAACCUCUCCGGUAAGUGCAAGCCUCAAUUAUCAUCAAAGAAACUUCUAUUUGCAACAUACAGAGAACACUACAGAAAUAGGACCGAAGGAGGAUGCACCGACUCUGCUGGAUCCCAGAUGGAAAGGAGAUUCAGUUAUCACCCUGCCCCCAACGCAGUAUCAGCUCUACACCAAGACUGAAGAAAACAUGCAACAUGGACCAUAAGUGUGUCUCCACAGUGUUCUGGAUCUAGAGCCAGCUAGCUACUGUCCUUCAUGCUAAGGAAGACAUCAGGAGAGUACAAUCUGUAGACAUCUGUGGGCAUCGGUUUGUGGGAAUUAGACACCGUGUCUUGUUAUGGAACACUCAAGGCUUGCAUAAAUCACCUGGAACCCAGGGACACAGAUAGGAAGACAAUGCCAUAGAAGCGGAUAGCCUUCAGUCCUUAAAGCCAUCUUACCAUCAAGGAGUCACCAGAACGUGGAGAGAAACAGACAUUUGCCAUGAAUCUCCAAUGCAGAGUAGCUUGGAUAACUCAAGACAGAACUGAUGAGUUACAAUACUUCAACGCACAGUGGGAAUUUCCCCACUUAUGAAGUUUCUCUCUUCUUCAGUGCGAGGGAACCAAGUUUUGAUUGAGGAUCCUUAUCCUCAGACGUCUCUGAUAUGACCACAGGGAUCAUGUUUCUGUACCUUGAAAGGAGAAUCAUCUGUUCAUUGAGCAGUCAACUGCAACCAUCACACCACAGAAAUCAGGUCUUGGAUUGAAUUGCCUGUUUUGCUUCCUAAAACCCAAAUGUGCAUGGUUCCUGGGUCAAUUAGUUAAAAAAUAAUUUUGCUGCCAAAGCCAAAAUAGAAAUCUAAGCUAAGUGUAAGCAAAAUAAAAGCAAAUAAUGGGGAUUCCUAGAGUUAAGUCUGUAAGGAAGUGUGGAGAUAAGUCUCUUCAAU